UACGGAGGGGGCUAGCGUUGUUCGGAAUUACUGGGCGUAAAGCGCACGUAGGCGGCUUUGUAAGUUAGAGGUGAAAGCCCGGGGCUCAACUCCGGAAUUGCCUUUAAGACUGCAUCGCUAGAAUUGUGGAGAGGUAAGUGGAAUUCCGAGUGUAGAGGUGAAAUUCGUAGAUAUUCGGAAGAACACCAGUGGCGAAAGCGGCUCACUGGACCAUAACUGACGCUGAGACACGGAAAGCCAGGGGAGCGAACGGGAUUAAGAAAC
rnacentral:rRNA from 1 species